UGCCCGUGGCUAUACAGACGAGGAAACGCCUUGCUCCAUCUCGAACCAAGAAGCUAAGCUCGUCAUGGCUGAUGAUACUCUCCCUUACUGGGAUGUCGGAAAAGUAGGUCGCUGCGGGCUU
rnacentral:rRNA from 1 species